AGGCUACUAGACACACGAAACCGGCGCUAACCGGACUCAGAACCCUAAUGGUUCCGAUCUAAUCUGCCGGUUUUUCCAACACGGCUCGCGAUCCAAGUUUUGGUUCAGUAAAAUGGACGAUCCAGUUUUGCUGCUUCGUCGUGAAUUUGUACACGACUUAAUGAUUUAACGACCGAUAUUGAAUAUCGACUGAAGCUAAACAGAUCGCGUGGUAAACACGUAAUGGAUAUUGUAUCAUUAUCUAAAUAACGAAAAAAAAGGAACAAAUGGAGGGCCCAGAUAUCGUCAUUCAUAUUGAAAUGGGAUCAAAUGGACGGUCUGGAUUUCCAUACCUAAAUAUUUGGGCGUCCAUCAGUACAGCGGGUCUUAGUGCCAACUUCCAUACUGGCCCGAGUUAUUCCGAACCUUACUCUGAUCGGAGCUUGGUCAAGUCGGAUCGAAGUUUAACACGAGGCUAUAAACGUCCUCAGCACAAUAUUUUUUAAAAAAAUAUUUUCUAUUUUUUUUAUUUUAAAGAAAAUGGUCUAUUAUUUCUGAUUAGUCUAAGGUGAAGACCUUAAACUUUCCCUUAACCUGAUUCAAGUUCAAUUACAUAAAUGAUGAUGGUCCCCUAUCUAUGAUAUAAAUAGAACCCAAGAUUUCAUAUUGUGGCACUCGGCACCUUGACCACCGGUGUCUUGAGCCGAUUUCUAUAUUCUUUAAAAUGUAUGAUUUUCUAAAGACAAGAAUCGGUAAAUUGACUUAGUCGGGAGUCGCCAGCCUGUGAACAAGUGCUAUACAGGAGAGGGCCAUGGAAUAUGGUACAUCUCGUGGAUGGACCAUGGAAAAGAAUCUAUUUAUUCACGUAUUAUGUCCACCACCCAUUAAUGAGAACAAACGGUGGACAUCAUCAAGAUUUAGCAAUAUACCACUAGAGUUGUGUAUGGUUUUAUGUUCUUUGACAUUAUAAGUGGGAAAGUAUACAUACAAUACCUAAGUGUGUUCUAUAGAUACAUCUAGGACAUCUAUCAUCCAUUUCCUAUGACGGACGGUGGAGAUUAACUGUACAUGAUUGAACGACGAUCAUUGUGGCACUCUGGCUAAUCGCUGUCACCCAUCUAAGCAAUAGAUGUUCCCAUUGUGUACCUUAUACCGUACACGGGAU
rnacentral:lncRNA from 1 species